GCCCUUGUAGUAUAAUGGAUAGAACAUAAGAUUCCGGUUCUUAAGAUGGGGGUUCGAUUCCCCCCGAGGGCA
rfam:Brochothrix campestris FSL F6-1037 c22, whole genome shotgun sequence.